rnacentral:rRNA from 1 species
UACGUAGGUCCCGAGCGUUGUCCGGAUUUAUUGGGCGUAAAGCGAGCGCAGGCGGACUUUUAAGUAAGAUGUGAAAUACUCGGGCUCAACUUGAGUGCUGCAUUUCAAACUGGAAGUCUAGAGUGCAGGAGAGGAGAAUGGAAUUCCUAGUGUAGCGGUGAAAUGCGUAGAGAUUAGGAAGAACACCAGUGGCGAAGGCGAUUCUCUGGACUGUAACUGACGCUGAGGCUCGAAAGCGUGGGGAGCAAACAGG